rnacentral:rRNA from 1 species
UACGUAGGGUGCGAGCGUUGUCCGGAAUUAUUGGGCGUAAAGGGCUCGUAGGCGGUUUGUCGCGUCGGGGAGUGAAAACUCAGGGCUUAACCCUGAGCCUGCUUCCGAUACGGGCAGACUAGAGGUAUGCAGGGGAGAACGGAAUUCCUGGUGUAGCGGUGAAAUGCGCAGAUAUCAGGAGGAACACCGGUGGCGAAGGCGGUCUCUGG